AUACGUAGGGGGCGAGCGUUGUCCGGAAUGAUUGGGCGUAAAGGGCGCGUAGGCGGCCCGGUAAGUCUGGAGUGAAAGUCCUGUUUUUAAGAUGGGAAUUGCUUUGGAUACUGUCGGGCUUGAGUGCAGGAGAGGUAAGUGGAAUUCCCAGUGUAGCGGUGAAGUGCGUAGAGAUUGGGAGGAACACCAGUGGCGAAGGCGACUUACUGGACUGUAACUGACGCUGAGGCGCGAAAGUGUGGGGAGCAAACAGGAUUAGAUACCCUGGUAGUCCACACUGUAAACGAUGAAUGCUAGGUGUAGGGGGUAUCGACCCCUUCUGUGCCGCAGUCAACACAAUAAGCAUUCCGCCUGGGGAGUACGGCCGCAAGGUUGAAACUCAAAGGAAUUGACGGGG
rnacentral:rRNA from 1 species